rnacentral:rRNA from 1 species
GCUGGCGGCGUGCUUAACACAUGCAAGUCGUACGAGGACUAGAGUAGUCUUGCUCUCUAUAGUCCGAGUGGCGAACGGGUGAGUAACACGUGACCAACCUGUCUUCAGGUGAGGGACAACCUGGGGAAACCCGGGCUAAUACCGCAUGAUGUCUGUUUUUCACAUGGGAAAGAGACCAAAGAGGGCCUCUGCUUGCAUGCUCUCGCCUGAUGAGGGGGUCGCGUCGUAUCAUGCUUGUUGGUGAGGUAACGGCUCACCAAGGCAAUGACGCGUAGCGGGUCUGAGAGGACGAUCCGCCACAUUGGGACUGAGAUACGGCCCAGACUCCUACGGGAGGCAGCAGUGGGGAAUAUUGCGCAAUGGUCGAAAGACUGACGCAGCGACGCCGCGUGUGGGAGGAAGCCUUUCGGGGUGUAAACCACUGUCAGGGGGGAAGAAUCCCCGGGUGUCCGAAUAGGGCACCCGAUUGACGGUACCUCCAGAGGAAGCGCCGGCUAACUCCGUGCCAGCAGCCGCGGUAAGACGGAGGGCGCAAGCGUUGUUCGGAAUUACUGGGCGUAAAGCGCACGCAGGCGGGCUGCUAAGUCCUUUGUGAAA